UGGGGAAUCUUGCACAAUGGGGGAAACCCUGAUGCAGCGACGCCGCGUGAGCGAUGAAGCCCUUCGGGGUGUAAAGCUCUUUCGGCAGGAACGAUAAUGACGGUACCUGCAGAAGAAGCUGCGGCUAACUACGUGCCAGCAGCCGCGGUAAUACGUAGGCAGCGAGCGUUGUUCGGAGUUACUGGGCGUAAAGAGUGUGUAGGCGGUUUGCCAAGUUCGGUGUGAAAUCUCCCGGCUUAACUGGGAGGGUGCGCCGAAUACUGGCAGGCUAGAGUGCGGGAGAGGAGAGCGGAAUUCCUGGUGUAGCGGUGAAAUGCGUAGAUAUCAGGAGGAACACCUGCGGUGUAGACGGCUCUCUGGACCGUUUCUGACGCUGAGACACGAAAGCGUGGGUAGCAAACAG
rnacentral:rRNA from 1 species